rnacentral:rRNA from 2 species
UGGGGAAUAUUGCACAAUGGGGGAAACCCUGAUGCAGCGACGCCGCGUGGAGGAAGAAGGUCUUCGGAUUGUAAACUCCUGUUGUUGGGGAAGAUAAUGACGGUACCCAACAAGGAAGUGACGGCUAACUACGUGCCAGCAGCCGCGGUAAAACGUAGGUCACAAGCGUUGUCCGGAAUUACUGGGUGUAAAGGGAGCGCAGGCGGGAAGACAAGUUGGAAGUGAAAUCUAUGGGCUCAACCCAUAAACUGCUUUCAAAACUGUUUUUCUUGAGUAGUGCAGAGGUAGGCGGAAUUCCCGGUGUAGCGGUGGAAUGCGUAGAUAUCGGGAGGAACACCAGUGGCGAAGGCGGCCUACUGGGCACCAACUGACGCUGAGGCUCGAAAGUGUGGGUAGCAAACAGGAUUAGAUACCCUGGUAGUCCACACCGUAAACGAUGAUUACUAGGUGUUGGAGGAUUGACCCCUUCAGUGCCGCAGUUAACACAAUAAGUAAUCCACCUGGGGAGUACGACCGCAAGGUUGAAACUCAAAGGAAUUGACGGGGGCCCGCACAAGCAGUGGAGUAUGUGGUUUAAUUCGACGCAACGCGAAGAACCUUACCAAGUCUUGACAUCCCUUGACAGACAUAGAAAUAUGUUUUCUCUUCGGAGCAAGGAGACAGGUGGUGCAUGGUUGUCGUCAGCUCGUGUCGUGAGAUGUUGGGUUAAGUCCCGCAACGAGCGCAACCCUUACUGUUAGUUGCUACGCAAGAGCACUCUAGCAGGACUGCCGUUGACAAAACGGAGGAAGGUGGGGAUGACGUCAAAUCAUCAUGCCCCUUAUGACCUGGGCCUCACACGUACUACAAUGGCUGUAAACAGAGGGAAGCAAAGCCGCGAGGUAGAACGAACCCCUAAAAGCAGUCUUAGUUCGGAUUGUAGGCUGCAACCCGCCUACAUGAAGUCGGAAUUGCUAGUAAUCGCAGAUCAGCAUGCUGCGGUGAAUACGUUCCC